rnacentral:rRNA from 1 species
GUCCACGUCGUAAACGAUGUCUACUAGCCGUCGGAAUCCUUGAGUAUUUUGGUGGCGCAGCUAACGCGAUAAGUAGACCGCCGUGGGGAGUACGGCCGCAAAGGUUAAAACUCAAAUGAAUUGGACCGGGGGCCCGCACAAGCGGUGGAGCAUGUGGUUUAAUUCGAUGCAACGCGAAGAACCUUACCAGGUCUUGACAUCCUCGGAACUUAGCAGAGAUGCUUUGGUGCCUUCGGGAACCGAGAGACAGGUGCUGCAUGGCUGUCGU